rnacentral:rRNA from 1 species
UACGUAGGGUGCGAGCGUUGCUCGGAAUUACUGGGCGUAAAGCGUGCGCAGGCGGCUUUGCAAGACAGAUGUGAAAUCCCCGGGCUCAACCUGGGAACUGCAUUUGUGACUGCAAGGCUAGAGUACGGCAGAGGGGGAUGGAAUUCCGCGUGUAGCAGUGAAAUGCGUAGAUAUGCGGAGGAACACCAAUGGCGAAGGCAAUCCCCUGGGCCUGUACUGACGCUCAUGCACGAAAGCGUGGGGAGCAAACAGG